GACGAACGCUGGCGGCGUGCUUAACACAUGCAAGUCGAACGGAAAGGCCCUGCUUUUGUGGGGUGCUCGAGUGGCGAACGGGUGAGUAACAGGUGAGUAACCUGCCCUUGACUUUGGGAUAACUUCAGGAAACUGGGGCUAAUACCGGAUAGGAGCUCCUGCUGCAUGGUGGGGGUUGGAAAGUUUCGGCGGGUGGGGAUGGACUCGCGGCUGAUCAGCUUGUUGGUGGGGUAGUGGCUUACCAAGGCUUUGACGGGUAGCCGGCCUGAGAGGGUGACCGGCCACAUUGGGACUGAGAUACGGCCCAGACUCCUACGGGAGGCAGCAGUGGGGAAUAUUGCACAAUGGGCGGAAGCCUGAUGCAGCAACGCCGCGUGCGGGAUGACGGCCUUCGGGUUGUAAACCGCUUUCGCCUGUGACGAAGCGUGAGUGACGGUAAUGGGUAAAGAAGCACCGGCUAACUACGUG
rnacentral:rRNA from 1 species